rnacentral:rRNA from 1 species
GGACGAACGCUGGCGGCGUGCCUAAUACAUGCAAGUCGAACGGUCUUUCUAUGGAAGCUUGCUUCCACUGAAAUGAUAGUGGCGAACGGGUGAGUAACACGUGGGUAACCUGCCCAUAAGAGGGGGAUAACAUCCGGAAACGGGUGCUAAUACCGCAUAGUUUUCUUGAUCGCAUGAUCGGGAAAGGAAAGACGGCCUUUGUGCUGUCGCUUAUGGAUGGACCCGCGGCGUAUUAGUUAGUUGGUGAGGUAACGGCUCACCAAGACGAUGAUACGUAGCCGACCUGAGAGGGUGAUCGGCCACAUUGGGACUGAGACACGGCCCAAACUCCUACGGGAGGCAGCAGUAGGGAAUCUUCCGCAAUGGACGAAAGUCUGACGGAGCAACGCCGCGUGAGUGAAAGAAGGUUUUCGGAUCGUAAAACUCUGUUGUCAGAGAAGAACAAGUUGGAGAGUAACUGCUCCAGCCUUGACGGUACUCUGACCAGAAAGCCACGGCUAACUACGUGCCAGCCGCCGC